rnacentral:rRNA from 1 species
GACAGAGGGUGCAAACGUUGUUCGGAUUUACUGGGCGUAAAGCGCGUGUAGGCGGCUUGGCAAGUCGGAUGUGAAAGCCCACGGCUCAACCGUGGAAGCGCAUCCGAAACUGCUUCGCUCGAGUCUCGGAGAGGAAGGUGGAAUGCUUGGUGUAGAGGUGAAUUCGUAGAUAUCAAGCAGAACACCUGCGGCGAAGGCGGCCUUCUGGACGACUGACUGACGCUGAGACGCGAAGCGUGGGAGCAACAGG